CCACAGAUUUUUUUUCUACAAGCGCUGAUGGGAUGCCUGCAAAAAGAAAGGAAUCUCCUCACAUCCCCAGUCAGUCGGCAGACUCUGAUGUUCAUCUGCAGCCGUGAGAACUACCCGUGUGUCCACUGAGUCUGGGGCCUGAAGUUCAAGUUGCUGUGCAAAGCUCCCAUGAGUCAGACUUUUGCAUCCUGAAAUAUGAUGCAGACAAAACCUCAGGUGGACAAACAGCUGCUCGUGACACCCGAGCUGGGCUGUGGGUACCGUGAGAUCAAAAACAGCGCAACAACGCAAAACUACCAUAAUGAAAAAGAGACAGUUAGAGAAUGUGAAAGCGUUUGAACCCAGGCCGACUGACGGAGAGAGAAAAAAAAUAAAAUUCUACAAAUCUGUAUCAGUG